GUGCCAGCCGCCGCGGUAAGACGAACCGUGCGAACGUUGUUCGGAAUCACUGGGCUUAAAGGGCGCGUAGGCGGCCGCUCAAGUCGGGGGUGAAAUCUUGCCGCUUAACGGCAAAAGAGCUUUCGAUACUGGGCGGCUGGAGGGAGGUAGGGGUGCGCGGAACUUCCGGUGGAGCGGUGAAAUGCGUAGAUAUCGGAAGGAACGCCGGUGGCGAAAGCGGCGCACUGGACCUCCACUGACGCUGAGGCGCGAAAGCCAGGGGAGCAAACGGGAUUAGAUACCCUGGUAGUCC
rnacentral:rRNA from 1 species